GAGAACUUAAAAGGUAAGCAAUCUCCUCUUGAAAAUCAUGAGACCAGGGCCCAUCAAUGUGUUCUUCAGAGGGAAUACAAGAUAAAAUAACAAUAACACAACUAAGAUGGCCAAAUUGACUCAAUUUCUUCAGAAGCUAUCAAUGUGUUUAUGAAAGCUAAAAAAAGAAGAAAAAAGAAACUGAGGAUUUUGCAGGUCCUUGCAUAACAAAAUCUCAAGUUCAAGGUGCUAUACAUCUCUGCCACAGGUUUGCUUUGUAUGCAACAGCUCGACCUUGUUAAUCAAAUCUCUCUCAGUAUUCCUCUAUAAAGAGAUGCAAUGUUAAUCAAGCCUCAGUCAUUAAUUCCAGUGUAAACUUGUGGUACCUGCUUUUUCAGCCUUUUACCUUACAACUCCCUUCAAUGUUCACUUCUGUAAGGUGAACUUGCAAUGCUCCUCUUCUAAUGACACCACUGACCCAUGAGAAAAAAAGUUAUCUCAAGCAGGAUGAACACCUCACAUUGCCAAAGCUCGGUAGUGAUAAAUUAACUUGUACCAUGUAGCACCCACAUAUAUAACAUAACUUGGAUUACAGUCAUUGGUACAGGCACAAUUCGAUCCAAAAAUUGACAAUCCUAUGUUCAACAUGUAAACCAAUUCCCAUCUUCGUAAAGAUAAUUUCCAAACCAUGGCAUUUCAAAUGCACAAAUUCUCUAAAAUAAACAUUGCAUAAUUAACACAGGUAACAUCCACUGGAAUACGGAUUGGCCUACAAAAUCAAAGAAAUCAUCAAGACAUGGGGGUCAUUUAGGUUCUCUGGCGGUUAUGUACUUGUAAUAAAAAACAGCUCCCAUAGGGUUCAACUAUAACCACUAACAAGAAAAUUAUACAAUAAGAGGAAGAGUGAGGAAGAUAAAGAAAGGGACAAAAAAAGAGGGGAAUUGCAGUUCAAAGGAAAAGAGCACAGCCCUUACUCCCCAUCCUCCAAUCUGAUACUGAGGACUUAAAUAAGAAUUCAACCAACAUAUGCGAGCCAAACGAACAAACAAGCAUGUUUUGUUAACUGAACAUGGAUACAACUUUGCAAACUUCUGCUGAUAUCAACAAAGCUACUGUUUUUGUUUGACACAAAGUCUAAUCCAGUCUGAAAAGCAUGCCAACAUGUAUCAAGUAAAACAGGUAACAUCCACUUCAAAGAGGCGUAAUUUUUAUAUUGAAAAGAAGAGGAUAUGGCAGCUGACACGUAUUAAGCCGAUUAUUCAGGCUCCCGCAGAAUACAAAAGCUCCUAAUGUUCCUUGCUAAAUUUUUCUGACCAAAACUAAUGGAGAAUACCUCCACAUGAUAGAUGUCAAUAAUGUUACAAUAACCAGUAAAAAAUUUCCCAAUUUGGUUAGCAACCCGACAUUUUUUUUGGGUAAUUGUUAAAUACUCAUCUCAAUCUACUUGUUCUUGAUGGUGACCCCAAGCCCACCGGCAACAAUAACAGUAGUUGCCAUGCCAAGAAACAUUCCAUGUUCCACAACCCCAGCUAGCCUCAGAAUAGCAUCGCUAGCAGCCCUUAAAUCACCAAUAUCCUUGUUAAAAAACAAGUCUACAAUGUAGUUCCCAUUAUCAGUGACAAAUGGAUCACCAUUUUCACCCCCAUUAGUCCUCAACUUGGCCAUGCAACCAGCGUAAUCAAACAACUGUUGAAGCCUUUGUUGCGUGAAUUUCCAACAGAAAGGCACAACCUCAACCGGCAUUGCUCCAUUGGCUCCAAUAUGGGAUACCAAUUUAGACUCAUCUACAAUAACUACAAACUUUUUGCAAGCACUUUCAAUCAUUUUCUCUCUGAGUAAUGACCCACCUCGACCCUUGACCAAAUUAAGAUCGGCGUCCACUUCAUCGGCGCCGUCGAUUGCUAGAUCGACAUUGGGGUGAGUAUCAAGAUCGGACAGAGGAAUGCCAAGAGACAAAGCUUGUUGAUGGGUCUUUUUGGAAGUGGGUAUGCCAAUAAUAUUGUUCAAUUUGCCUUGGAGUAAGAGAUCAGCAAUACGGUCGACGGCAUGCUUGGCAGUGGAGCCGGUGCCGAGGCCAAUAACCAUGCCAGACUGGACAAAAUCGACGGCUUUGUAAGCAGCAAUCUUUUUAAGCUCGUCUUGGGUGAGGACUACUUGGGGUGGUGAGGAGAGAGGAGACAAAGGGCCUCCCUCGAUGGACAGCUUUUCUGAUCCAAGAAGGGGAGGACAAGGAAUAGCCAUUUUCUUUGCUCAAUAAAUAAAAAACAAGGAAAAAAGAACAAGAAACAGAGGGAGAGUAAGAGACGGAGGUUAUCUGGAAAAAAAAGAAACUAAGAAGAUAACGAAUGGGGAGAGAUAGGGUUUGUGUGU
rnacentral:misc_RNA from 1 species